rnacentral:sRNA from 1 species
UACCAGGGUCCCAAGGUCAGAAUCCACCUGUGCUUGCACAGAGGUGGAUAACUGACCUUGGGACCCGCCAAAAUAUGAGGAAGAAGUGGGGCAGGGGCCCCAUGAAUUCCGAAUAUUUUGCAGAAUUGCGCAAGCACGAAGUGCGCAGCAAUUCGUCUGGU